GACGAACGCGGCGGCGUGCUUAACACAUGCAAGUCGAACGUGAUUUUUGUGGAAAUUCUUUCGGGAAUGGAAAUGAAAUGAAAGUGGCGAACGGGUGAGUAACACGUGAGCAACCUACCUUACACAGGGGGAUAGCCGUUGGAAACGACGAUUAAUACCGCAUGAGACCACAGAAUCGCAUGAUAUAGGGGUCAAAGAUUUAUCGGUGUAAGAAGGGCUCGCGUCUGAUUAGCUAGUUGGAAGGGUAAAGGCCUACCAAGGCGACGAUCAGUAGCCGGUCUGAGAGGAUGAACGGCCACAUUGGAACUGAGACACGGUCCAAACUCCUACGGGAGGCAGCAGUGGGGAAUAUUGCACAAUGGGGGGAACCCUGAUGCAGCGACGCCGCGUGAGCGAAGAAGGUUUUCGAAUCGUAAAGCUCUGUCCUAUGAGAAGAUAA
rnacentral:rRNA from 1 species